CAUGUAGGCGGGCUCCCAAGUCGGACGUGAAAUCUCUCGGCUUAACUGAGAGGGGUCGUUCGAUACUAGGAGUCUUGAGGGCAGGAGAGGGGAGUAGAAUUCCCGGUGUAGUGGUGGAAUACGUAGAUAUCGGGAGGAAUACCAGUGGCGAAGGCGGCUCCCUGGCCUGUGCCUGACGCUGAGAUGCGAAAGCGUGGGUAGCGAACG
rnacentral:rRNA from 1 species